AUUGAACGCUGGCGGCGUGCUUAACACAUGCAAGUCGAUCGGUAACAGGUGUAGCAAUACAUGCUGACGAGAGGCGGACGGGUGAGUAAUGCUUGGGAAUCUGCCUAUUAGUGGGGGACAACCCGGGGAAACUCGGGCUAAUACCGCAUACGCUCUACGGAGAAAGCCGGGGACCGCAAGGCCUGGCGCUAAUAGAUGAGCCCAAGUCGGAUUAGCUAGUUGGUAGGUAACGGCCUACCAAGGCGACAAUCCGUAGCUGGUCUGAGAGGACGACCAGCCACACCGGAA
rnacentral:rRNA from 1 species